rnacentral:rRNA from 1 species
GUGAACGCUGGCGGUAGGCCUAACACCUGCCAGUCGAACGGCAGCACAGUAAGAGCUUGCUCUUACGGGUGGCGAGUGGCGGACGGGUGAGGAAUACAUCGGAAUCUACUUUUUCGUGGGGGAUAACGUAGGGAAACUUACGCUAAUACCGCAUACGACCUGCGGGUGAAAGCAGGGGAUCUUCGGACCUUGCGCGAUUGAAUGAGCCGAUGUCGGAUUAGCUAGUUGGCGGGGUAAAGGCCCACCAAGGCGACGAUCCGUAGCUGGUCUGAGAGGAUGAUCAGCCACACUGGAACUGAGACACGGUCCAGACUCCUACGGGAGGCAGCAGUGGGGAAUAUUGGACAAUGGGCGCAAGCCUGAUCCAGCCAUACUGCGUGGGUGAAGAAGGCCUUCGGGUUGUAAAGCCCUUUUGUUGGGAAAGAAAAGCAGCAGGUUAAUACCCCGCUGUUCUGACGGUACCCAAAGAAUAAGCACCGGCUAACUUCGUG